CAUGGUGCUUAUGAUGCAUUGCUUUCUCAUGUUAAACUAUUCAAUCUUGACAAUGUUCUGGUGAGAUGAGAUUUACUACUGCUGUUACAUUACAGUUCCUUCUGGGACCCAGAACCUUCCCUUCUGACCAUCCUACUUCAUUCUCCCCACUCUGGAUUGAUUUGGACUUCUCUAUAAAGUAGUUUCAUGGUCCCAGCCACCUGCAGACCAAGCAGUAAGGAGCUCUUAUUUGGUUUGGCUAUUUAUUUGACACCAGCUUACCGCUGGUGGACACCCCUGAGCGUCUACAGAGAGAUAUCUUUCCAAGACAACAAAUUUCCAAUGACAUGUUUGGUACCUUGAAUUCAUUAGGCCUGCUUCAACAGAAAAAGAUGUUUUUACUGCUUAUUUCAAAGAGCAGUGGUAUUCCAAAAAAUUAAAUUUCUAUCAAUUUUUAA